rnacentral:rRNA from 1 species
UGGGGAAUAUUGGACAAUGGAGGGAACUCUGAUCCAGCAAUUCUGUGUGUGUGAAGAAGGUUUUAGGACUGUAAAACACUUUUAGUAGGGAAGAAAAAAAUGACGGUACCUACAGAAGAAGCAACGGCUAAAUACGUGCCAGCAGCCGCGGUAAUACGUAUGUUGCGAGCGUUAUCCGGAAUUAUUGGGCUUAAAGGGCAUCUAGGCGGUAAGACAAGUUGAAGGUGAAAACCUGUGGCUCAACCAUAGGCUUGCCUACAAAACUGUUGAACUAGAGUACUGGAAAGUGGGUGGAACUACACGAGUAGAGGUGAAAUUCGUAGAUAUGUGUAGGAAUGCCGAUGAUGAAGAUAACUCACUGGACAGAAACUGACGCUGAAGUGCGAAAGCUAGGGGAGCAAACAGG